UCGAGAAUCUUCGGCAAUGGGCGCAAGCCUGACCGAGCGACGCCGCGUGCGAGAUGAAGGCCUUCGGGUUGUAAAUCGCUGUCAGAGGGGAGGAAAUGCCGGUGGGUUCUCCCACCGGUUUGACCUAUCCUCAGAGGAAGGACGGGCUAAGUUCGUGCCAGCAGCCGCGGUAAGACGAACCGUCCAAACGUUAUUCGGAAUCACUGGGCUUAAAGGGUGCGUAGGCGGUCCGGGAAGUUGGGUGUGAAAGCCCUCGGCUCAACCGAGGAAUUGCGCCCAAAACUGCUGGGCUUGAGGGAGACAUAGGUGAGCGGAACUUAGGGUGGAGGGGUGAAAUGCGUUGAGAUCCUAAGGAACACCAGUAGCGAAAGCGGCUCACUGGGUCUCUUCUGACGCUGAAGCACGAAAGCUAGGGGAGCGAAGAG
rnacentral:rRNA from 1 species